UCCAAUUAGAGAUACAAGAAUGAAACUUGUAAUAUGAUAGUAGAAAUAAAGAUUACUUUUUUAUUUUUUAAACAAUCUUAUUUUAAGGUUAUUUAUUUUGAGAUAGAGAGAACGUGCAUGAGGGGAGGAGGGGCAGAGAGAGAGGGAGAGGGAGAGAAUCUCAACCAGACCCUGCACUGUCAACAUACAGCCUUAUGCUGGGCUCUCUCCUGUGAACCUGAGAUCAUGAAGUGAGGCUAAAUCGUCAGAAAGAUGCUCAAACAGCUGAGCCACCCAGGCACUCCAAGACUACUUUUUAAAGAAGCACCUAAUGUAAGUCAGAGAUCAGUGUGGUAGAACCAGUGAAGAGCCAUCCAGAUUUUCCGUCAAGGAAGGGCUUCUUCCAGCUGCCAGGAAUGAGGUCAGCAGACAGACUCCAGAGGCUGACUCCUUCAGCUGGGCCAUGGAUUUGUCUCAACUGCAGAGGAGACAUCUCAGGGGGGAUUACUCCAUUGCUUUGGCAACCCAUAUCUAGUGACUGGGUCGGUCAGGCAUGUAAAUAUCUGGCAUUUUGGCCCAACAUGGGCCAACACUGAUAGGCAAUACUUCACUCCAGAUUCCCCCAGGAGGCUGACCAUGGCUUUAUUGGGCCUGCAUUACAGUUCAAUUUCUUCUUCUCUCCCCUCCCUGCCACCAGUGUUGAUCCCAAAUGAAUACACAUUUCCAUUUCAGUGUCUCAUGCUAGGAAACAUAAACCAUGACCUUUAGGACAGCUAGAAGAUAUGAUAAAAGCUAAAACAAAAAUACUUGAUGGCAAAAAAAAGGCCGGUGGCUUUGGCGUUGAGGGCAUUGCUAAGGAAGAGAUUGUUAACAAAAUAAUGGUAAAAGCCAUGUAUUGAACAUGGGCUCUGUGUCUUUUCCUAUGCUAACAGAUUUAUAGUUUAUACAUAUCAUUUCAUUUAAUAUCCAAAGCAACACAAUUCGUUAGGCAUUCGCAUCCAUGUUUUAUGGAUUAGGAAAGUUAUGUGUGGGAAAGACGGAUGAUUUUCCUUUACUUGUGAAUGGCAGUUUUCAAAAGUAGUUUGAGAAAUCAGACUCAAUUCUUAUAACUAGUGUUAAGUUCAAGGUGGACCAGAUAAUUUACAGGGUAAUCAUUGUUUAUAGAAUGUAUAGAAAAGAGGUUUAAUGGAACAGUCUUAGACAUGGACUUCUCAUUUUUCAUAUCCUCAUAUCUUAGCUCCUUAUAGUAUAAAUUCUUGAUAUUAGGUUAGUAUUUUUCUGGAUACAUUAUCUCUUCUUCUAGAUUGCCACUGCAAAAACUUCUUGAAAAUAACAUCUCUUAAUUAUAUUGAUUCCAUUCCAUCCCCAUCACUUUUUGUUCAUACCUUCUGCACCUGGAUCAGACUACUUUUGACCCUUUGCUUUAAUACUUGGAAACAUUAAGCUCUUUACAAAGGGACCAUUUGAAGGUGUGGUUUUCCUUAACCUUUUCUCUUCAACCACCUACUGUUCUUUUCUACUGAAACAAUCUAUUCUUAGCUGAACAUCCUAAACUAUCUCAUGGUCCAGAGAUGUAACAUCUUUCAUGUGUUAAAAUAUGAUAUUCCCCUGACCAAUUCUAAAUAACUAUUCUUCCAAAAUCUCCACACUUCCCCCUCCAAAGUUGGUGUUCAGUCUAACAUUACCAAAAUGACCCUUUACUGUCCAGUCAGUCCUCCAAUAUUGGAGAAUUUCAUCUGACUCCAUUUUCCUUCCUGUUUAACCUUGAAAAUUUGCUAAGUCAUUUAAAUGAUAUUCUUACUGACAUCUUCCAUUCUUAUCUUACUUGGAUUGUGAGAUGUGCCAUACCAACCAACCACCAUUUUUGUUUUCGUUUAUGCAAAGAACAGUCCUCUUUGAAACUCCAUUGCACACUGGAGGUUUACUGGAAUAGUGACCUAUCGGGACUCCUUCUGCAAGCAAAAUAGCUGCACCAGGCUAGAAUUUGCACGGAGUCCAUGCCUGUCGCCACCUCAAGAGUAAAAGCAUCACAACUUCUUUUAGGCCUUGGACUCUACAUGCUGGGUGCCUGGCUUUCUUGGGCAACUGCUGGAAAUAACUACAUUCAAACACACUUUGCUUGUCAUCACAAUGGUAUUUUUAUUCUCAAGCUUGAACUGCAAAUAGAAAAGUCAACAGCAUAUGGAUGCAAUGUGAUGUUUCUAAUAUCUACAUUUAUUCCUAUUACUUUAAAAGUAGACCCAAGGUGUCUGGGGAAGGAAAGAUUAUUAUUGUUAUGGCAAUAACCACAUUGAUUCUUCUUUGGCUCAAUUCUCCUCUCUUCCAGCGCAAUGUGAUGACAGUCAAAUGCUAUCCUACGUGUACUGGGUCUGUAUCAUAGGACAGGAACCCUGAAAAUAUGAAUCUGGUAUGUACAUACUUUGCCUCCUUCACCUCUUGAGGGGAAAGAAAUUUGAUCUCUCUAAUGGAAACACAUUCUCCUGGGGAAGAGAAGGGUAAAGACUUUGUGUUCUUGCUCUCUGGGAUGCCAGUCAAUGCCUCCAGAUGGAAAACAAGGUGAUAGAGUGGAUGUUGUCCAGAGCCUGCUGCCAUGUAUGUGGUGAUCAUGCUUACAUCAUUCAGCUUCAACACAAAACCUUCUCAGGUCCCUUUACCCCUAAUUCCAUCCACCUGCUCCAUAAGAAUUGCAACAAAGACCAUGGUUUUUUGCUUUAGCUCAACUGGAUUCAAAUAUCCUUUCCACAGGGUGUUAGCUGCGUAAUCUAGGCCAUGUAAUAAUUGCUUCAGUUUCUUCUUUGAAAGCUGAAGGUACUAAUAACUACUCUGGAAGAAAAUUAGGAGGUAGAAAAAUGUACACCACUUAACUUAGUACCUAGUACUCAAAAUGUAGUUACUACUGUUAUUUUGUAAUUACUUCAUAAUUGUUUCAUCUUUCGCUUUAGUACUUUAAGUGCAUAUCCUUUACCUACUUUAACCUCAGCAAACAAAACUAAACAAAACAAAACAAAAUCUUCUGAUUCUUAACUACAGAUAAUGUUCUGACCCACACCACUCUCCAGUUAUAGAAUUCCUUCCUUUCCAUCUUCUCUUUCAUUGAUAAACGCCUGAAGGUUUGCUCACUGCACCCACAGCACUCAUGGCCUCAUCUCCAAGUGUGUUUCUUCAUUUUCCCAUUGCCUUGUGCUUAGUCACGGCUUUCUAAUGCCUGGAUUCACAGGGCCUUUUCUCGGAUCACAUCCUACUUUGCUACCCUGCAACACUGACCACAUGUCUUAAAAUCAUCCUUUCCCAAGUUUCCUGAGAGUGUAUCCUGAUUCUUCCCCUACUCUGAGCAAGCUUUGUCAUUUUCUUUUGUUAGAUACUUUCCUUAUAAUGUGUGUCCCCUGGAAGCAUCAUCCUCCUGGCUCCUCCCAUGCUGUGGUCUCUGUGAGCUAAUCACUGUUGACAAGGCUUCUCUUUCUCGGACUUGAAAAUAUCCCCCAGCAUACUUCUUUUAGUUGCUUGGUUUGACCAUCUUGUAAGCUGUUUGCAAUCACUACCUAACUAGACAACCCAAAAUCAUAGGUACAAUCUAAUAUCAUUCAUCAAAGGAUUUCCUGUGUAACCCAAUUGAAUAAAGAAAUUUUUAAAAAGGGGAAAACAACAGUAAAGCAGAAAACAAGGGCAAACUUAUAGUCUGCCCUCUGAAUGCUCUGAACUGCUGUGUGUGAGUUUGUUUUGUAAACUUGAGAGGAAAAGAGGUACUCUUCAUGACGUUCAUAUCUUAGACACUUUAUCUUUGUGAAUUCUUCUGAAAAGCCUCUGUGAGUUCGUAAAGUGUUAAAAUAAAGCUCUAUCAUGCAGCAUAAGAGCAAAAUGAGUAUUGAGGAAAAAAAAAUUUCUUGAUGUGACUGUCCUGAAAAAAGAUUACCUAAGCUGUCACAAACACAUAAAUGCAUACCCCUGAUGCUGAAGGCAUCUUAUUCAUUGUCCCCACACUUUGCAUCUGUUUUACUAGCUUUAUGAAUCCUUAAUUAAACUUUUGUUCACAGAAAAGGAACAUUUAGUUGUAGACUCUGGGUCUAAAGUUCUCUCUUGUCUAGCAAAAGAGCGGGACAAAGGAUGAAAAGUAAGAGAUGGCUAAUGUCUGGGAAAAGACAAGAACUCUGAAUAAGGUUCUUUGCCCCAUUUUUAUUAGGAUCAGAAGGCUUACACACAUGCUGAUGGAUUUGCACAAAGAGACAACGAAUCUGUGAACAUUAACUUGUGGACGUGAGGGAAAGGGGAUCUUGAGGAUGUUUGGGAUUAUGGGUUUGGGUUAAUACAAAACAAAAUCUGGGCACCAGGCAGUAGGGAAGAAGGUUGUUUACAGUGAACAUGAGGCAGCACCUCUGUUUAUCUUAGCUAAACCCAGGGAUGAGACAGGUAGGGGAAAUAACCUCAGGGUUGACAAGACACCUUUUCUUUUGUUAAUCUUUUCCGAUCUGGGCCGCUUUGCCUGAAGGGCAGCUGGUCCAUAGUCCAAUUCACCAAUUUACCUGACAUGGCCUCCCUGUGAAAGCAGCUUUUCUGCAAUAGUACUAAACUGGGGGUGAUUCCACCCUGAAUAUCUAAUCUUGUUUAUUUCCUAAACCUAUGUAUUGGGCAUCUUUGCGCCAUUCCUAUUUUAGACCUUGUCUCUCCCUCUCUGUUCUGGGGCUCUGCAAUCCGUCUGUAUUUUGGGGUGCCUUUGCACCAUCCUAUUCUUGGCACCUUUGUGCCUCCCUAUUCUCGGGGUGCCUUUGCACCCCCUAUCUUUGGGGUGCCUAUCUGGUUUACCCAAACUCGGGUGUAAGCAUUCUAUGACUUUGUAUUUCUUCAUGCCUUGUUAACCCAUCAGUUUAAGCCCAGGGAUUCCUAAGCUUAUCCCCCACAUUUAAUGAGUCUAGUUAUUUAUUGACUUGAUAUGACUUAAGAAAAAUGUUGACUGUUUUUGUUCUCCUACUUUUUUCUUCAUACUUGAGCUUCUGUCUUUGUGUUACACAAUCAAUAUGGCUAAAAUCUUCUUCUAUGAAAGCUGCUUUUUCCCUCCUCAGUGCCUGAUGCCUCACUUCCGGCUACUCUCCCUUCGUCUGAUGCUUCACUUCUGGCCACCCUGCAUUCCUCUCGUGCUCUGCUUCCUGGCUUGUCUGUGGCUUUGGCCUGCCUCUACAGCAGCUUUGGUUGAAUAGCACACAGCUGUCCUCCCUCCUCCCACAUACAGUUACCUUUGGCACAAUCUUCCUACCAGUACUCAGAGCUGCUGCUUAGAAAAAGGAACUAAUGCAAGUGAAUGGAAAAGACAGUACAAAUUCUAUAACCAUGAACUAUAGGACAAGUCAGAUAUUCAUAGGCAAUAGUCUUCAGUCUUUUAAAGGUCUUCAGUUAGGUUAGACUUGUAUCUUUAGCUGAUGAGAAUCAGAUGAAGAGGGAGAUCACAUAAGGAGACAGCUUUGCUAUAUAGCUCUUUCCUCUCCCUGGGAUGAGUUUCCUCCAGAUCAUCUGUUUGGCUCAUCCCUUCAUCUCCUUCACAUGUUUGCCUUCAGAUCUCACCUUCUCGUGAGAUAUACUCCUGACAGCCUUGUUUCAUACUUCAACCUAUUCCAUGUCCCCUCUGGCAUUCUGAAUCAACUCUACCUGGUCAAUUUUUACUUAUUUUCCCCAUGGGCCUUAAAUCUGUAAAUAUACUAGAUAAUCUAUCUACUACAUUUUCUACUUUUAUUUUUACUUUUUAAUGACACAACAUAGCUCCAAGAGGGCAGACACUUUGGUUUGGUUGGAUCCCAAACACCAAAAGCCUGUCAAUAAUAGGCAUUUAAAAAACACCUAGGAAUGAAAAGAAGGAAAAAAAGGAAAGAAGGAGAGAAUGAUGGAAGAAAGAAGGAAGAGAAAGUCAGAAGCAAGAAAUGAAGGAAGGGUAGCAAUCAUAAGCCAAAUAAAUGAUUAAUUAUUUUCUCUGCCAAGUUAAUAAAUAUUUAUUUCAGAUCAGCUCAACAAAUGUUUUCUGAAUAACUCUAUAAUUAUUAUUCAGUGUUAUAAUACAUAGGGAAAGAUAUUCAUCCUUAGUUAAAGGAGCCUGUAAUAAUUUAGGAAUACAGCAUCCCGUUAUAAUGCAGUGAAGUAUUACAGAUGUUGGAAUACUGUGUAACAGAAAUGCUAUGACAGGUUUGCACCUUACCUCAUCCUAACUGCUCCAGGAUAAUGCAGUGCCUGAGGUGGGAGGUGCUAUUAUUGGAAGUGCAACAGUAGAGGCAAGGAGACCAGUAGGGAGACUCAUGUUCUUCGGGUGAAACAAGAUGUGUGCUGGCCUGAAAACAGUGGUAAUAUAACAAGAAGGCAGGGAUGGAUUUUUGAAGUACCUAGGAGAUAAUAUUAGAGGAACAGGAUGAAUGAUAGAGUAUGAAAGAUUUGCUUGUAGUAAGGUAUGGAUUUAAAACUAUGCAGAUCAAAUCCAUUCAUCCUUGGGGUGACCAUUAUAUCAUACUGCUACAUGACAGUCGAAGGGAUAAAUCCAGUCAAGUGAUCAGAGCAAAAGCCUCAGAAGGACACGAGGCAGAGAAAUUCCAGUUUGGAAUAUUUCUCGUGUUUCCAGGCACUGAAAGGUAAUUAAUACUGCUAAAACCAGGAUUUAGAAAGAGUAGGGAAAAGUGCCCAGCACUUAAUAAAGCACCAGCAAUUAUUCAGUUUUGUUUUUUACAUUUACUUAUUUAAUUUACUCUAAGACAAAUUGGUAAUGUUUUUAAAAUUCCAAGAACGAUAAGAAAAGAAUAUGUCAAUUCAGCUCAUUUUUCAUGGGACCAAAGACUUAAGGAAAUUAAUUGGAAAAAAAAAUUAUGAGAAGUGUUGUACUUAUUUAAGACAAGAAUGUCAUUAAAGUUUUCAACUAUUAACUUCCAUGAUUUAAUAAAUUAUUAGUUGCAUGGUGCAUAAAUAAUUACUCCGUGAGGUUUGGCACAGUAUCUUGUUUGUUUGUCUUCCCCAGUCCAGGGCUUCAAUAAAUCUUUUGGUGGCUAAAAAAAUGAAUGAAUAGGCAGAUUAUUAAUAAAAUGGGUUUUGGAAUCAGAAAGAAAUGUUUUAAAUCCUAGUUCGGCCACCUACUAGUUGAGAAAGCAACUUUACUUUCUGAGCUUCAGUGUCCUCAUAUGUGAAAUAAAAAUAAUAGCUCUACCUCACUAGGUUGCUGACAUUUAAAAGUAAUAAUCAGUUAUUAUUUAAAACAGCACAGUGCCUAGCAGGUACUGUGUGUUCAAUAAAUGUUAAUAAUUAUUAUAAUAUUCCAGUUUGCAUGCCAGGUAGAUUUUAAGCCACAAGUAAAUUUGAAUUUUUAAGGCAGCCUUCAAAAACAAGUGACCAUUGUGCACUCAGUAAGCCAGAGGGCGAAUCCCUAUAAUGGAGUCUCCGUGAGAAAAACAUAUUUUCAACACUUUUUCCUCUUAAAUCCUCAGUUCAUUAUUUCACCAUGUUUUCUCUUCUCUUUGACUAUUCUUAAUCAGAGAUAAGAAAUGUGUCAUAUAAUGAAAUGCUUAAAAUGAAACUAUCUACUUUAUAGUGGGAAGUGCUGAGACAUAACCAGUCAUUUUUAAAAUAUUUUAUUCUUUUCGAACAUAGAGUUGAAUUGUAUUUAUGCAAGAAAUAUAUUCAAUAGCUUCUACAAACUUAUGAAGUAGGUGUCUCAGAAGAAUAACAAAAGUUUCACUAUACUACCUAGAAAUUGAUGGGAUCCUAUAAAGCAAAUGGUGUAGCUUUAAUAUUCUUUAGGAAGGUUCCAGAAUGAUAGUAGGCCUAAGAGCACGUUUUAGCUGUUAAUGAAAUGGAUAAAAACCAUGCGAUUAAACCGCUUUCCUUUCCCCCCAAUGUUUUUCUUUAAUUGAAGUAUAAUUGCCAUAAAAUGUUACAUUAGUUUCAGGUUCACAACAUAGUGAUUGGACAACUCUAUACCUUGUGUUAUGCUCACUACAAUAUAGCUACCAUCUGUCACCAUACAGAACUAUUAUAAUGUAAAAUAUAUUCCCUAUGCUGAACCUUUUUAUCCCUGUGACUUAUUCUUUACGUAACUGAAACCUGUACCUCCCACUCCCCUUCAUUCAUUUCACACAUGCUUUCAACACACCUCCCCUCCCCCCCACCCCUCACCUCUAGCAACAGCCAGCUCAUUCUCUGUAUUAUGGGUCUGUUACUAUUUCAUUGGUGGUGGUGAUGGUUGGUUUGUUGGCACAUUCUGUUUUCUUAGAUUCUACAUUUCAGUGAAAUCAUAUGUUUUUUGUCUUUCUCUUUCUUAUUUCACUUAGCAUAAUACCCAUUAGUUGCAUCCACGGUGUCACAAAUGGAAAGAGCUCUUUCUCUUUUAUGGCUGAGUCAUAUUCUAUUUUAUAAAUAUUCCAUAUCUUCUUUAUUCCUUCUAAUGUGAAAAGAUAUAUGCACCCCUAAGGUUAUUGCAGCAUUAUUUACAUUAUUAUUACAUUAUUUACAUUAUUUAUAGCCAAGGUCUGGAAGCAACCUAAAUGUCCAUUGAUAGGUACCAUCUACCUUUUAAAAAAGUCAUAUCAUUUAUUAACCAGAGGGAAAUGUAAAAGAAACUGUAGUGUUAGAUUCACUGACUGCAUGGGAGCUCAAAUACAAGAUCUAGACAAAUAAAUAUCGAAACCAUUACAAACCUCUGGUAAAUGAAAUAAACCUAGUAAGUGAAAUGGGUGCGUAAGGGCAAAUUCUAUUUGUUUUAUUCAUUCCUCCAUUCAGGCAAUUCAUAAUUUGAUCAGUUAUGCAUUCCACUAGUUAAAUAUGCCAAAGAGGUGCCAGAAUUUUGCUAGUUGCUCCUGCUGAUUGCUGAUGGUUAUAAGGUGUUCCAUCCAGUUAACAAAUUAAUGCAGUCACCUACCUACCUUGACUCUUCUGUGAAAUGAUUAAUAAUAACAGUUACAAGUGUUACUUACAUGACAAAAUUCUGAUAAGGAACAUAUGGUUUUAUUUUGUCAAAAUCAAGCAAAAAAUAGAUGAUAUACUGGAAAUAGAUACUCAUGAUGCACAGAGAAUUCCCUCUCUAGUUUUGGAGGGAUAUUCUAAAACAAGAAAACCUAAACAGAGUUGGAAAAUAAUUCAUGUUUAGGCAGUAUUGUCCAAAGGUGGGGGAGCUUUCCUAAAAGAAAAACAGUUCCUUGGAAUUCCUUUUGCCACUUUGAAUUAUUGAUUUAUAAAACUUGACAUUAGCACCCCUGGCUGGAUGUUUUUUUAUGGUAAUGCUUUGCCAAGAUUACUGAGGCCAUGCGUGCAUAUUGAAGCAAGUGAUAAUUAUAAUUCCACUCAGGCUUCCACCUCGCAUUGGGAAACAUGUUCAACUUCCAGGUUAUUGUCAUACUCUUCCCUGCUGGACAUAGGGUUCAAGAUUAGAAUCCUUCUCAACACAGCAGAAUUAAGGAUAAAUCCCAUUUUCCCUUCUUGGUUAUAAAAAGAAGAGCUGAGGGGCACCUGAGUGCCUCAGUCAAUUGAGCCUCCCAACUUCAGCUCAGGUCAUGAUCUGGCAGUGUGUGAGUUCUAGUCCCACAUAGGGCUCUGUGCUGACAGCUCAGAGCCUGGAGCCCGCUUUGGGUUCUGUGUCUCCACUCUUUUUGCCCCUCCCCUGAUCACACUUUCUCUCUCCCUCUCUCUCAAAAAUAAACUUUAAAAAAUUGAAAA